rnacentral:rRNA from 1 species
GGUGAGAAUCCCGUCCACCGAUUGACUAAGGUUUCCAGAGGAAGGCUCGUCCGCUCUGGGUUAGUCGGGACCUAAGCCGAGGCCGACAGGCGUAGGCGAUGGAUAACAGGUUGAUAUUCCUGUACCACCUCAAUUCGUUUUAAGCGAUGGGGGGACGCAGUAGGAUAGGCGAAGCGUGCUGUUGGAGUGCACGUCCAAGCAGU